rnacentral:rRNA from 1 species
GAGUUUGAUCAUGGCUCAGAUUGAACGCUGGCGGCAUGCCUUACACAUGCAAGUCGAACGGCAGCAUGAUCUAGCUUGCUAGAUUGAUGGCGAGUGGGCGAACGGGUGAGUAAUACAUCGGAACGUGCCCUGUAGUGGGGGAGUAACUAGUCGAAAGAUUAGCUAAUACCGCAUACGACCUGAGGGUGAAGGUGGGGGACCGCAAGGCCUCAUGCUAUAGGAGCGGCCGAUGUCUGAUUAGCUAGUUGGUGGGGUAAAGGCCCACCAAGGCGACGAUCAGUAGCUGGUCUGAGAGGACGAUCAGCCACACUGGGGACUGAGACACGGCCCAGACUCCUACGGGAGGCAGCAGUGGGGAAUUUUGGACAAUGGGGGCAACCCUGAUCCAGCAAUGCCGCGUGUGUGAAGAAGGCCUCCGGGUUGUAAGCACUUUGUCCGGUAAGAAAUCGCACUUACUAAUAUUAGGUGUGGAUGAC